UACAGAGGUCCCAAGCGUUGUUCGGAUUCACUGGGCGUAAAGGGUGCGUAGGUGGUCGGGUAAGUCUGAUGUGAAAUCUCCGAGCUUAACUCGGAAACGGCAUCGGAUACUAUUCGGCUGGAGGGUUGGAGGGGGGACUGGAAUACUUGGUGUAGCAGUGAAAUGCGUAGAUAUCAAGUGGAACACCAGUGGCGAAGGCGAGUCCCUGGACAACUCCUGACGCUGAGGCACGAAAGCCAGGGGAGCAAACGGG
rnacentral:rRNA from 1 species